rnacentral:rRNA from 1 species
GUGGGGAAUUUUGCGCAAUGGGCGAAAGCCUGACGCAGCAACGCCGCGUGGAGGAUGAAGGCCCUUGGGUUGUAAACUCCUGUCGAGCGGGAAGAAACGCUCGGGUGCCAAUACCACCCGGGUUUGACUGUACCGCCAGAGGAAGCCCCGGCUAACUCCGUGCCAGCAGCCGCGGUAAUACGGAGGGGGCAAGCGUUAUUCGGAAUUAUUGGGCGUAAAGGGCGCGUAGGCGGCCCGGUCAGUCGAAGGUGAAAGCCCCGAGCUCAACUUGGGAACUGCCUUCGAUACUACCGGGCUUGAGUCCGGGAGGGGAGAGUGGAAUUCCCAGUGUAGCGGUGAAAUGCGUAGAUAUUGGGAGGAACACCGGUGGCGAAGGCGGCUCUCUGGACCGGAACUGACGCUGAGGCGCGAAAGCGUGGGGAGCAAACAGGAUUAGAUACCCGAGUAGUCC